AGCGAAAGGAAAAAAAGGGCUACCUGGCACACGGCGUCUGUGUAAAGUGUGUGCGCGUAAGUAGCGAUCCAGUCGCUCCGGCGGCUUAUCACGUCGUUGUCCGGUAUCGUUGUCGUAGCCGCGUUUUUCGUCUUUCUCAUCUUUCCUUACAUCGCCUCUGUGCAGUUCGACGUAUCUGCGCUUCACGAAUAUCUCAAGACCCCUCUCCCGAUACACGCGCACACACAACUUACUGAGCCAAACACGCGUAGGUUGACUCCACGCCGCGCGCGCGUCCUUGCGCGGUUGUUCUGCGCCCCGUCGAUUCACGCUCCCGCUCUGAGCAAGGGAAAGAGUGUGGGAAGGGAAGCAGAUCCACACAGAGGACCAGCUCACCCCCAUCCCCUCCCCUCCUUCCACGACAAAACUCUAUCAUCAGGCGCGCACUCGUGUGCAGCGCUACAGGGCGCCCUUUCGUGUGCGUGUGUGUGUGCGUGUGCGAAGCGCGAGUAGCGAGCUUGUGAAGCGGAGCAGAGCAACACGCAGUCCCCGCCGCUGCCGAGUAUCGAGGGCCCUUGGGAAACCUUCUUGCGCUUCCAAGUGGAGUGCGGAGUCGUUCGCGCCGCGUGCACACAAGCCGGAGGCACGCAAUGAGCUGCCCCGCCGAUGCCGCCAAAACUCGGACAGCGAAGUGCGCACUUCCACUUCCGGCGCCUCCACUGUGCGAGGGCUGGCUCGAGAAGUUCGCGCUGUGCCGCGGCAUGUUCACCAAGAAGGGGUGGCGCCGCCGCUACGCGUUUGCGACUCAUGAGGGGCUCGGCCUGUGCCACGCAAACCCGCGCGACAAGGGCAGCGGCCUCGCUGGACGCCCACUACAGAUGCUGCACGCCAAGUCGUUUAUUCCGUUUGUGAAGAAGCGGAAUGGCGAGGUGGAGCUGCAGCCGGUGUACGUUGUCGACGACGUCAGCGCCGCGCGGCACCCCGAGGCGCCGCAGAAGAGCCACAACGGCAUCUGUAGCGAGACGGUGUCCCUGGCUGAGGGGGGCAGCAGCACCGCCUCCUUGCGCGACCUGACGAGCAACGGCAGCAAGUGUACUUACUACUACUUUGGGCUCAGCUUUGAGGAGCACCGCAAGCGAUACCUGCUGCUGCUCCGUACCUCCUCGCCGCAGGAUUACAUCAUGUGGACCACCUAUUUGCCCCUGUACGUGCACGAGGGCAGCGCGUCGAGGAUUGUGCCAAUGGGCCAUCCGUUAGAGGCCGGCCGCCCGCAGCCGAUCGACCUCAACUACAGGCGACUGACUGAGAAGCGCGAAUCGAUGCUGCCGAGCACGGUCACCUUCUACAUCGACCCCGACCCGUGCACCGUCGACGAACAUGUGAAGGUCCGCCGCUUGUGCCUCGACUGGGACGAGGGCGAGCGUCGACGGCUCUUCACCUCCGCCGUGGACCGCGUGCGCUCGCUGUGCGGGAUUUCUGAGAGCACCGCGUCCGCGAGCAUCGCCAAAAUGCAGGACAAGAGCGAGGAAGAGUACCGCAAAGUCGUAUCCUCUCUGUUCGAGGAGCUGUCCCCGGCGGUGCCCGAGUCCGAGGAGAAGCAUCCUCCGUGCCACAAAGACAAAAGUAUACCCGAGCGUGGCGUUGCCGCAACCGCUAGCGUAGGGGUGGCCGCGCGCAGCGCCGGCGCGGCGCACCCGCCCGCGACGCGCAUCGACACGGCCGAGGGUGCUGCCAACGAUUUGAACAUGAGAGAGAGCUCAAAGCAGUCGGCUAGUCGACGCUUCUCUUCUAGCCUCCUGGUCGGUGGUGACGGCGCUGGCAGUGGGGGCAAGGAAGUGCGCAAGCACCCGAAACUAGAGAACGGUGGCACCGCUGCCUACUCGAGUCUGAAGAUCUAGCGAGCAGCAACACAGGCUGUGCGUGUGCCGUCAAAGGAGGAAGGAGGCAAACUAUGCGCCAUUCAUAUUCGGAGCGAUACGGUCUCUCUGUCUCUCUCCCCCGCUGCUUCCGCUUCCUCGUUGUCUCAUCUCUGCCCGCCUUCCUGCCAUGUGGGACGUCGUCGCUGAGGAGAAUGGCACCGUACCUUCAUUGACUCUGCCCGUCGGCUUUUGAUCACGUUGGCUGCCUUUGGGCUGCAUUCCCACGUGUGGAAUAUGUAGAAGCCCCUCCACUCUCCCUUUAUCUCUUCCCCCCACCCCAGCAUGCGCCAACGGUGGGCAGAGGGCUCUCACUACGGGCUGGGGCAAGGUGCGCCUUCGUCUUUCUGAUGCCUUUAUAUAUUUUUUCUUUGUCUGUUCGCACCCUCGCACCCACAUCCUCUACCUCACACAGGCAUCUGCGUAUAUGUGUGUGUGUGUGUGUGUCGACGUCUCCUCCGUUCUGGAGUUGUUGUCAUCUGCUGUUAUUAAAAAAAAACGUGUUUCUUUCUCCUGUCCAGUGUGGCCCUUUCUGUUCAUGUUGUUGUUUGUUUAUGGAGCCGACGUGUCGCGCUUCACCGACAUCGCGUGCCGUCGAGUGUGCUAGUGUGCCGAUUCAUAUAGGCCGUAUGCUUGCUGCGUUCCACCCACACCCUUUUUCUGCUCCAGCGCGGCCCCUUCAGGCGGGUGGCACCUCUUCGUAUCUUGUGCGUCUCCGCUGUUUUUUUUUUCCUUCGGGGCGGGAGAGGGCUGUUCGUGAGCGUGUGCGUCUCACGAAAGACGGGAGGAGAGGGGGGCACCUCAGCGCGUAGUACCACAAAGGCUCCAGUGCGCCUACUCGGUGUGGGAAAAGGCCAGGCAGAGCCCCUCUAUCCCCUGCUAAUGCUGAACCACUUGUGGUGGUGACAGAGCCAUGCACCUACGACGCAGGGCAGGUCAGAGCGCUGCAUCGCUGCAGAUAUCGGCGGUCAGGUCCUGGAUGACGUGGCGUCGGAGCGACGUGCGGCAGUGAACAUGUUUGUGCCAUCCACAUGCUGAGCGAAAGGUCGGCGUGACCGGAAUGUGCCUCUCACCCGGCCCUCGCACUGCCCACUGGUGGAUGCAGCCUGAGCGCCACCCUCGAGGUGUGUGUGCACCAGGUGGCGACCGGCCUGACUGGGAGCGGCUGUGAUGCCGCCCUGCCCAGCAGGUGGGUUGGCAGAGUGUGGGGCGGAUGCCGUGCGCAGAUGACUGAGUCGGCACAUCGCUGUAACACAGCGUGCCUGAAACUUCCUCGCCCCGCGUGAUGGGGGCCUGUGACCGGCGUGGUGGAGUGAGGCCCAGGCUGAUGCUCUAUCUCAGAGGAACAGGCGCGCGACCAAAGAAUCGAAAAGCGUCUCUUUUGGUGCGCAUGGGCGUGUGUAUGUCACUCGUGCCGUUUAUGCGUUGCUGUUUUUUUUUUUCGCGUUAAUACUUUCAUUUCCGUGAUUAUAUUGCCAGGUGCGCUGUUUUCUCUCUGGUGUGGCUCGUAAGCGCUUGUGUGCUGCUCUCUCGGCAGCGCGACAGACGAACUGCGAAGCUGCAACCUCCUCUGCUGUCUUAGUGCUCCCUCCCGCGCCGCUCAAGCGGGCGGUGAAGUAGUCGUCUCACGCGUGUCUCUGGGCAUGAAGGUAUGUGGAUGUAAUGCAUUCGUCUCUGUGUCGGGGUUCCCCUGCCGCAGGAGUGCAGUUCGGAGGGACUGGAAAAGGCGAAGGUAAGGCGGCAAGGGAGCACGGCGGGUGUAGGCGAGGAAGAAAGGAGACGGUGCCCCCGCUCGGAGUAGGUGGCGAGCGGUGAUGUGAGCGGGACGAAAGCGAAGGACGCAGAGUAAGUGGGACGGUGACCUGCCUAGCUUAGCGCCUUAUUAUUAUCAUUUGUGUAUGUUCUGUUUGGUUCUGUUUUUUUCGUCAUCGACUUAUGUGUUUGGUAGCAUAGCACCCCACCCCACCCCGGCCUGGACAGGGCUUGGGGAAGGGCGAGAGGAAAAAAGAGAGGGAGUACGUUGCUGUGCACGAGCGAUGCACGAGGGCAUAUACGUCCUCCCUCCCCUCCUCCCUCGAAGCAAAGCCAACACUCGCACCGGCAGGCGCACACACACACACACGCAUUCAUUUUACCGCACGCUUGCACCAAUGCGUGCAUGUAUAUGUGUAUGCGUGUGCGCACCUCUGUUGCGGCACGAAAAGGAACCCUUCUGUUCUUCGCACUUCCUAUACACACACACACACACACACCUUCCACUCCACCAG
rnacentral:misc_RNA from 1 species